rnacentral:lncRNA from 1 species
UUGUAUUAGAAUCAUCUAAUGUCUUACAGUGACAUCAAGCAAUACUGUAUCUUUCAAUAAAUAUCCUGAAUUUUGUUGGAAUUUGAACCAAGGUAUAUGAUUUAGUGCAGUGCGUUGUGGAACUUAAUAUGAAAGAACUAACUGUGCUAUUGGUGCUGUUUCAGGAAACACUUCUGAGUCAUUGGCGAACAAGUGCACUUUGAAAAGGCCUAGAUAUGACCAGGUCAAAAACAAUCAUUGAAAUUCAAAUGUUUGCUUUUACAUGCUUUUAAAUUUUACCCGGUUCUCUGUUGAGAGUUGUCACCAAUAUUUGCAAAAUGGAGGAUUCUUGAUUAAAAAGAAUGGAAAGUUGUCUGUCAUAGGAAGUCCACGACCAAUGUAGCUCUCAAAUUCAAAGAUGCAAUAGGAAAUAUUCAAGGCUCAUGGCCAGAAGGUGAUACUUUGUUUGACUGCAGAACUGAAGAGGACUCACUUGUUAAAUCUUGCUUCUUGGGGCCAACGUAGAAAUUUUACUAAUCAGCCCUUAUUUGGGUACUCUAUUUUGCGGGGGCUUUCUUCCUUAUGUAGAUCAUCUAUGGCCAAACUUAUCAGUGCAAACAACUCUAAUACCACUUGUUGGGCCUUGCCACUUGGUCUAUAUGUUGGGCCUAUAGCUCUGGUACCACU